rnacentral:rRNA from 1 species
UACAGAGGGGGCGAGCGUUGUUCGGAAUUACUGGGGCGUAAAGGGCGACGGUAGGCGGCCGUGCCUAUGUCGAACGUGAAAAUCCCCGGGCAUCCAAGCCCGGGAAACCGUGACGUCCGAAACCUAGGCGAGGCUUGAAUCCGGGAGAGGGAUGUGGAAUUCCAGGUGUAGCGGUGAAAUGCGUAGAUAUCUGGAGGAACACCGGUGGCGAAGGCGGCAUCCUGGACCGGUAUUGACGCUGAGGAGCGAAAGCCAGGGGAGCAAACGGG